rnacentral:misc_RNA from 1 species
UAUUCUCAAUUCUCUUGGUUUCUGCCAAGAUGAUAUUGGAUUUGGAGGCUAUUGCUGGCAUCAUCAUCUCUGAAGCCAGCUCCUCUCAAAUGAAUCAGUGUGGACAUUCACUUCAUACUUGGUGUGAUAAUUAUCUACACUAUGUUUGAGUGAUACAGUUUCAUGCUUCGAAUCGUCGCAAGACACUACUUUGAC